AACGAACGCUGGCGGUAUGCUUAACACAUGCAAGUCGAACGAACGAGACUCUAGCUUGCUAGAGUUGAGUUAGUGGCAAACGGGUGAGUAACACGUGGGAAUCUACCCAGUAGUACGGAAUAACAGUUGGAAACGACUGCUAAUACCGUAUAGUAUCGAGAGAUUAAAGAUUUAUCGCCAAAGGAGCGGCCCGCGUCAGAUUAGGUAGUUGGUGGGGUAAAGGCCUACCAAGCCUACGAUCUGUAGCUGGUCUGAGAGGAUGAUCAGCCACACUGGGACUGAGACACGGCCCAGACUCCUACGGGAGGCAGCAGUGGGGAAUCUUGGACAAUGGGCGCAAGCCUGAUCCAGCCAUGCCGCGUGGAUGAUGAAGGCCUUAGGGUUAGUAAAAUCCUUUCAACGGGGACGAUAAUGACGGUACCCGUAGAAGAAGCCCCGGCUAACUUCGUG
rnacentral:rRNA from 1 species